GUAAUAUAUUACAUCAGGAAAGAGACCCCGCGGACGUAGCCCGAGACGUUGGUCAGACCAGAUAAAAGAAGCGGUCAACACACCUAUCUGCGAUGCAAUCCACGCGGCAAGAAACAGAGAGCAAUGGAAGAACAUCGUAGCAAAUAUUGCAUUAAAGGGGAGCCACGAUCCUCAAAAUUGAGGAAAUGACGCAGAAAG